AUCCGUGAACAGAACCCCCAAUGAGACCCCCAUUAGUUGUGGCUUAUUUUGGUUCUUUUUAGUUCGUUUCUUUCCCCUACAUUACUUGACCGUUUUUGUAAAACAACAGCACUCGUGGUCUGACAGUAUUUUACCUAGAAAUGCACAAAAUAUUCAAAAAGAAGGCCUAGAAAAUUUAAAUAUUGGACAAGAACUAUAGAAGGUACAGAGAAAUAAUAUACAGCAGAAAUGAUAGGCAAUGUAAAAUUUGCAGAAGCCAACUAAACCUAAAUGGUGAUCAGACAUCUCGGUUUUCAUGAUCAAUAGGUCAUUACUGAAGAGGAAACUUAAAGUUGAAAUUUAUUUACAUAGUGCAUAAUUGGAUUAAUUUGAAAUGGAAUGUGUGCUUUCCUGCAAAAAAGAAAUAGGAAAUUUCAACAUGUGAUAAUGACCAUAUAAAACAAAAUGGAGUUCUAUCAUAGAUACCCGAAAACACUAUUGCAUAAAAGCAACAACAUAUCUUAAUCAAAAGAAA